UCUACCUCAAUGCCAUAGCAACCAAAGUAGACAGGUGCAGCCCACGCUAACCUUUGGACUGGCUGGUGUCCAUUCUCCUUUGCUAUUAUGAAGCUUUUUUGAAGCUGGGUUUUCUAUGGAGAGCAUGCCCUUGCUUACCCCCAACUCCAAUUUCUAGACAUGAGUGGUCCCGAGACAAGGCCUCUACCACAAUUUUUAAGAAAUGUGGCAGAAAACUAGCUCAAGAAGGCAGGGACGCUACUUCCUGACACCCGUUUUGGAGCCCCCACCCCCGACCUUUCAAUAUCCUGGGGUCUGUGGGAAAGCUCAUUUAAAUAAAAAGGGUCCUUGGUAGUGAAAAGUUUGGGAACCACUGUGGUAGAGUAUGUCUUGCUGUAGAUGAGGUUCAUGACUACCUUGCAUUAAAUAAGGGUUGGUAGGAUUAGCUGGAAAGAGAGACAAAGAUGGUGGUAGCAUCAUGCCAUCAAGAUACAAGGGAGCAAAUAGAAGAUAGGGAGAGAAUAUGAGGAAGGGUUAGCAAGGGAGUGAGAGGAAAGUGAUAGAUGGUUAGAGAUGGAGGUAGAGGUGACUAGUGAAUGGUGGACUUGGGUAGGGACAUGGUCAGUGAUAAAAUAUGUAUUUGGAGUUGAAGUAGGAGUGGCUUGGAAGGAGGUGAAGGUGCAACAGAAAGGGUGAAAAGCAGAGAAUUGGGGAGGUGGCAAAGGAGAAAGAGAGAGAGAGACAGCCCUACAGUGGCAGAGAUGGAAGCCAGAGGUAUGUGGGAGUAGAUAACAAAGGUGAGAUGGGUGAGGGUGGUCAGUGACAGAUAUGAGAGGACCAUUGAGGUAUGGCAGUCAUAAGAUGUCGCUCAGUGGUUCCCAACCUUUUCACUACUGAGGACCCCUUUUUAUUUAAAUGAGUUUUCCAUGGACCUCUUUUAAUAUGCUUGUGUGUGUGUGUAUGAAAUUUUGAAUUUAGUUCAUGGACCCCCAGUACUACCUUUGUGGAUCACAGGGUGGGAACCUCUGAUGUAGCUCAAGGAAAAGGUAAAAGAUAGCUGGUGGCAGAGAAAGUGUGAUUGGAGGAAAAUAAUGUCGGGAAGGAAAACUAAAGCAGACACUGGAACACAAUGCAGUUCUUGAACCCAUUGGAUCCUGUCAAACCAUCCAACCCAUACACACAUGAAACACAGAUGUUAAAUGAGAACGAUGACAUUGAGGCCUGCUAAAAGCAGUGCUUUCUCUCUUGAAUUAUUGGACUAAAGUGGCACCUCAAGAAAACUGAUAUGCUGCACCUCUGUGUGCACUUUUGAAGGGUUUUUUUUUUUCUUUUCUUGCCAGGCUUAUUUCUAGAAAUUUGUUUUAUAUAUAAAUUUUGCUACUUGAAAAGCUCAGGCAAGGCUGUAGGGUUAAGAAAUUUACUUCAGAAUCACAUGGUUAGGGAUUUGGCCCUCUACAAAACUUAUGGGUUGAGAUGGAGACUGAAGGAAGCCUGUUGCACACAAGUAUGUGUGUGUGUAUAUAUAUAUAUAUCAAAAGAGUUAAGUUUGUCCUUUGUUUGUUUUUUUUCCGCAGACCACUGGGGUACUUGUAAUUAGUGCUUUCUUAGUUCUCUUGUUCAGUUGUUCCAGCUCAUUCCACUGUUUGCCUAUGAAAUUCAACAGUAUUUAUUGUUGGUGAAUCUGAUUGUUUAGUUGAUAAUUAACUAUCUACUAAUUAUCUAUGUCAAGAGCUCUCUGAUGACCGCAGGAAGGGACAUUCUUUAGCUUGCGGUUCUCUCUCAAUUGAUAUGGAACAGUUCCACUGAAGCUAAAUUGCAGCAAGUAUUGAAACAACUGGUUGAAUUUAUUGAUAACCUGCAAUAAAUGAAUGCCUCUGUGAGAACUUUGGUCUACUGAUGACUUAGCACUGAUAAUUAUUUGCCAGACAGGCAGAAAAUUUUCCAAACAUAGAAUCUAAAAUUAUAAAAUUCAAUUCACUUGUCAGUGAAGAAAAGCACAGAAUCUUAGUAACGUCUGGGAAAUGGCUUUGCUUAAUAUACAAGAAGCAAAGGGGACAGGAACUUCAUAUUGGGCCCCCAGUGAAAGCAACAAAUGUAAAAUAGCUAAAAAGGAUCUAUUGGCAAACUGAAUCAUAACAAGAAUUUCGGAAUAAGUGAAUAGCACAAUUGAAGUUCUUAAUACUGCUCAGACAUUUCAUAAAUAUAGUUGAUAGUUUCUGGUAAUUAACUGAUCUAAUUAGUGCUGGAAUUGGAUGUUAAAAGAACACAGUAGUUCGAGUAAAGGUUAGGGAUUGCCUCCGUUUGCAGCAACAAACAGUUUCUGUAUUUGUGUGAGAAGGAGACUGUAGACAAUGAAGGCCCUGCAAAUGCUGCAGUGUUGCACAGGGGUGAGAUGCAUGCAUGGAAUGUAGGGAUGAGGGACUAACAAGUAAGGAGGAUCUGUUUGGGGAAAGGAGGAUUUCAAGGGAGCUGUGUAGCUUUAGAAAUAUCAGCCAUAGUGUAUACAAGAUAGAUUACUAUACUGGUAGGAGAACUGGUGGUGGGUGGGUGGAAAAAAAAAAAUGACUGUCUAAAUACUUCUUUCUACUAUUGGCACAAGGCCUGAGAUUCUUGGGAGAGGGACUAGUCAGUUACAUAGGCCCCAGUGCUCACCUGGUACUUAUUUUAUCAACUCCUAAAGGAUAAAAGGCAAAGACAAGCCUUGGCAGCAUUGAACUCGUAAAAUAAGAAUUGGAAGAAAUGCCACUUAGCAUUUAUUGUGUCUGCUAGUGCUCAUGGUUCUACCAGAUUACUGCCUUAACUGUCUGUAAAAUAAUAGAGAUAACAGUAAAAAUGGGCAGAUCAGAUCUUAGGAGAUGUUUAGGCAUGAAGCUGAUUGGAAGUAUGUUGGAUGGUAGAUUGUCUGAUAUCUGAAGGAUGGUCUAAUGUGGCUGAUUGUCUAAUAUAUGAAGUAUAUUGUCUGAUAUCUGAAGGAUGGUCUAAUGUGUGCCUGGUCGAUUGUCUAAGAUAUGAAGUAUGCUGUAUGCUAGAUUGUUUAUUGUAUGCCAACAUAGAAAAAUAUAGUAAUUUAUCUAUGAUAAUGAUAUUGUAAUGGACAAUUUUAAUUAUCACAUCAGCAAAGUUGAUUGUAAUUACUUCAAUAUAGUCAUUAUGUAUUUGAACUUUUAAUAUUUGAUCUCAUUAAACACCAUGAAAUUGUUCGUUACUGACAUUAAUUUUUUAUUUUUCUCAUGUGCCCAACCAGCCAACCAACCAAACAUUCUUUUUCUCAUUUUACUCUUCCAUGCUUCAAUUGAUUAAAGAAAUAAGCUUUUUUCUAUUUUUAUAGUGGUUUUAUUUUAUGAAAAGAAUAGUUCUUUGAUUUAAAAAAAAAAGUAAUUGUUUAGUGUCCACAUUUACUUCAAUCUGGAAAUUGUUGUAUUGUGAUUUUCUUUUAUAUAAAAAAUAAUGUUUGAAUUUAGUUUCAUGGUCUAUGAUUAGUUCUAAAUAUAAGAACUAUUUAAGUUUAUCUCUAAAUUACUUGUUUUUAAAAAUUUUUUUUAUAUUGGACUUGCUUCAAUUAGCAGCAAAUCUGUUUAUUUUAUGGAAGGAUCAUGACAACUUGUGGCAUUCAUCCAUUUUCUAAGGACAUUAAUGACAUAGAUGAUGUUAAAUGACUUCAGAGUAAGACUCAACAUUAGGUUCAAAAGUGUUGGCCACUUUCUUUUGAUUAUACAGAAGGAAUGGUUUUUCUCUCUUUUCAGCAGAAAUUGGUUUGAGAAAAUAUCAGACUAAAAAGAUUCUGUGAGUGUGUCUGUACUUGAUAUUUGAUGAAUCCUGCUUUUUUAUACAUCAUCAUUUUUGCAUUCAGUUUCUCCAUCUAGUGUGGGUUGAACAGAUCAAUUUUAACACAGCCUCUCUCUGCAUGUUAUGGUCUUUCAUCUUCUCUUUCACGGACAUCUGACAUCAACCAGUCCACUCUCAUGCGAGCUCCUUCUACCAACAUUUUUUGCCACUUUUCACCCAAAUGUCAUUUCUUUCAUAUGUAUCACAUCUCCAUACCAGUUCAGUCUUUCGUGCACAUAUUACCACAAAUACUUCUGAUGCCUAGUCUUUUUCUCUCUCAGGACAUAAGUGGUCUAGUGUUAACACACACUGAUAUAACACGACAGGCAAGCUCACCUUAUUUCUUUUGUAUCCUCCACAUUGGGAGACCAUGUUUCAAUACUAUGCAAAAUUGCUCUUCAUACACAAGUGUCAUGCCAUCUUUCCUUCACUCAGAGAUUUUGAAAUGCUCUGAUGGUAACAGAGGUAAUUGUUUCCUGAAUUUUCCUCUCCUUCCAUUCUCAAACUGGUUACUCUCCUUUGACAACUGCUACCUCUAUAACUGAUUAGGUCAACUAAGUAAUAGACAUUAAUUGACUUCUUUUAAUUAAUGAUUCUUCUGGAUUACUAGAUAUAAUAUUCCCUUGUUUAUUUUCUCAAACUUGCAAAUAAAACAUCAAUAGUAAAUACGACUCAGCUAACCACCACUAUUUGCCGUGGCUUCUUAGGUUUUCCUCUAACAGGGUACCUUCUACUCUUAGAAGGUGGUACUUUUCACCUGAAACUUCUGAUGCCUGUUUUGCUUAGCAAUCUUCUCAGUGUACCUUUUGUGUGUAGUAUUGAAUCUUAUUGAAAUGUCCUUCAUGUAGCUCAAGGUCUCUUCCUACCUUUUCUUCAACAGCUCAUAUAAGGACCUGGUGGUCAAUAUAUAUGACUUUCAAAAGACAAACUCCUGUGUUAUUGCUUCAUUGAUUAUCAUUGAAAGAAAAAGGGCCGUAAACAGCUAACUGCACAUUGAAUUUCUUUGAUUUUUAAAUAAAUCUUAAUUUUGAGCUACAAAAAGAGAACUCUACUCUGGUUUCUAUCACCAGCAUCAACGUUUAAGCCACAAGUUGUUUGUGUAUUCUUAGAAUUCUCAUCAGCCACCACAUCCUCAACUGCAUGCUUACCUCCCACCCUUGGCUUCUGCCCUUUUUCCCAACCGACUACAUACUAUACUUGGCAUUCUUACACUUCUGGUACUUCAAUUCAGCUCAAUGCUCAGAAUACCAUGAGUUCUGAGCUGACAACUCCUGGUAGACAGUCUUCUUCACUUUUGACCCAUCCAAGACAGCUAAACAGAUUGUCAAUACCACUUUCUUAGGUAUGCUACAUUGCCACCCAACACCGAAAUAGUUCCUUGCACCUGUACAACAGUAAUAGGUAUUGCUUACAGCACCAGGAGCAAGAACCUCUAGAAAAACAAAAGCCACCUUUUGUGCAAUCUGCUACUUGCAAGCUUUCUUGCCUGCUAAACUGCACCUGGCCUCCUGGUCCUUUGCCAGUGCAUCUCUCCUAACAUUGAAGAUUCAUUUGUUCUGCUAAGGUAGUUCUACGAGUAACAUUCCUGUAGAUAAAUUUACUGCCUGUAUGCACCAAAACCUCUCCCAAACUCGCUUUCCCCACUUCACCAAUUUUUGUACCACCUACACUCACCAAGUGUAAAUAUUUCCUCAAUUCCUCUGAUCCAACAAACUGUCUCAUCCUGACAGUAUUCUUCCAAAAUUAUCCUUGCAUCUUCAACAUAUUCUUCAGAUUUUCUUUUCUCUAUAAAUAUCUAUGCCAACCACUGAUCUCCCAGAAGCUCAAACUUAAUGUAAACAGUCCUACAUAACCACAUCCUUUAUCACCUUUCCCUGUUUUUCCUUUCUUACUGACAACCAGUAUGGUUUCCAGAAAUCUGAAUCGAGUGGUGCUUUUAUUCUUUAAUGUACUGAUGGAGUCUUGCUUUCUAGAAUGUAUGAACAUAAAACUUGAUGCCCUUACAUCAUCAAAGCUUUCCAUUACGUUUAGCUUCCUCACAAAGUUGCCUGCCCAUAGGCAUUGCUUGGUUCAGAAGUUUUCUCUUAAGCUCUAUCACUAUAUCCAUUGGUUCUCUCUAUCAACCCUGGUCUACUCAAAAGAUUCAUUUAUAUUUCCUAUAUUUUGUCCUCCCCUAUAUUAACAACCAGUUUGUUACUUCUAACCAUGCAUUGCUGCUGCUGUCUAUCUAUAUAGGUGAAUCUAAUACCAAACAAUAUAAAAUCUUAGGGAAAUAAUUGCCAAAAUCAAAAAUUUUCCAAAACUGAUAUACCAUUAAGGGAAAGGACAGGAUUGUUGUCUGGAGAGGUGAGGACAAUCAUAGACAUGUUUCUACCUCAAUAGCCAUCAUCAGCAUGACAAUUGUCAAAAUUAUCUCCUGUAGCCAAAAGACUUAGACUUAUACAAAAAAAGAGUAGAACAUAUUUAUGACCUAGAUAAUUUUCUUAUCAUUUAACAUCUGUCGUCCAUGCUGGCAUGGGUUGGACAGUUUGACCAGGGCUGACAAGCUGGAAGGCUGCACCAGACUCCAGUCUGGUUUGGCAUGGUUUCUACGGCUAGAUGCCCUUCCUAAUGCCAACCACUCUGAGAGUGUAAUGGGUGCCAUUUGUGUGACACCAGUAUCUGCCACGACUGUGAUUUUACUUGGCUUGAUGGGUCUUCUUCUCAAGCACGACAUAAUGCCAAAGGUCUCAGUCAUUUGUUAUUGCCUCUGUGGAGCCCAACACUUGAAAUAAAAAUGAGUUUAGAGAAAUAACUCAGAGUGGCCUAUGGCAUGUAUUUGAUAUAAAAAAAAAAAACAGGUAUAUCAAAUACCAUAAAACAUAAAUUUGUGAUUUAUUGCAAUUAUUUCUGCCUCUAAAAGAUGUGUAAUAACCAAGUGGCAAUUAAGACAAACUUUGCUUACUCUAUGGAUAGAAACCCCAAUAAUAUUUUUAACAAGGUGAAUCUAUGUUGUCAUUCAACUUGCUGGAAAUAGCAAUCAUACUUCUCCUAAAUCACCUCCUACUGUCUUAAAAAAUGGAAGGACACAUUAAAUAAUGUUCUAGAUACACAAUGGUUGAGUAGCAGGUGAAACAGUCAUGGCUGGAAUCCUUUUGGUUAAAGAUCUGUUCAGUUAGAGGAGACCAAGGGUUAAAGAUAAUCUUCUAAUGAGAUAAAAUAACCAAGUCUUCUUUAGCAGCACUAAAACACAACCAUUUUAUAAUAUAUAUAUAUAUGUGUGUGACUGGCAUGUAAAAAAAGCACCAUUUGAGAGUGGUUGUUGCUAGUGCGAUGAGGACUGGCUCCUGUGCAGGUGGUAUGUAAAAAGCACCAUUUGAGCAUGGCCGAUGCCAGUACUGCCUGACUGGCCCUUGUGCUGGUGGCAUGUAAAAGCACCUACUACACUUUUGGAGUGGUUGGUGCUUCAUUGUCCACUGAGGAAUGGUUUCUAUGGCUGGAUGCCCUUCCAAGUGCCAGUAUGUCCAGGGUGCUCUUUUUCAUGCCACCAGCACCUGUGAGGUUGCCAUACAGCCUGGAAGACUAAGAUUUCUUUCAACUGAGUGGGGCAUCAGUAGAGGAGGAGGCGAUGUUAUGCUAUGGAAUGAGGGGUUGAAGCUUGAGAGAAGGAUCCAGAACAGAAUAGGUUUCUUGCUCUUGAGGAGCUACACAGCUACUCACAUUAUAGAAAAUAGGUUCUGAAUGGCCAGGAUGGAGUUGGAAGAGAUAAAAAUAGUGGUGACCAGGUGUCAAAAUAUGAGGUAACCAUAAAUACUGUUUCUUGCAACCUAAGGAGCUUGAUCUCAUAAAAUCUCAAGACAGAUUACUUGACAAUAUAACCAGCAAUAAUAAUUAAUAUGAUUUGAUUUUUUUCAGUUUGUUUGAAUACAAUGACAAUAAAAUUGAUUGGAAUAAUUUGAACAUUCCAAAAUGUUCUACAUAAAGCUUGGGAUUGUUUAUUUACUUGGACUUGUUACCUAGCCAGGGUAAUUUUGUUGGAAGGGAAGAAUUUUAUUUGAAACUUACCAGUUUUCUAGUAGUAUAUUUUACUAUUUGGUUAAUAAUUAGACCAAUAAUUACGAUCAUUUUGUUGGAUGCAUGUUUUGCAGAUACUGAAAAUCAUGUAAAAAUAUGUGAUUAAUUGCGUUUGUCAAAUUCGUCAGGCUUUUCCUUUUCCAGCUGACAUUCAUUGACUGCAUAUUUUAUACUAAGACAAUGCAAAUUACUUUGGAAGCUCCUUAAAAGGCAUUGUUUUCCUAUGAACAUAUGUCAUAUCCUGAGACGCAGCAUUGUUUAAAACAUCAACUGAAAUGUUUAUAAAGUUUACACAAUAUCUUGUUGUACACUUGUACUGCUUACAGGUCUCUACACAAUUCAGUCUUUAUUUGACCUUUAAAGAACUUUGAGUAUUGUGAGUGAGUUAAUCGAGUUAAUCUUGCUUUCAACUUGUUUGUAAAGUAAUAUGAAUGGGCUGAUUAGAUCAGUGUUUAUCAAAAACUGGGUUAACCAACAUAUGCUUUAAAUUUGUUCCAGUGACUGCCGAAUAACUGAAGUGCACAGAUCAUACUGCUCUCUCUCUCUCUCUCUCUCUCUCUCUCUAUAUAUAUAUAUAUAUAUAUAUAUAUAUAUAUACUAAUAUUGCUAUAAUAUGCUUCAUUUAUCUUUCGUGUCAGGUGCUUGUUGCUCAAACCUGUAAUGAAAAGCAUUCUAGCCACAACCACCAUGUCUUCUCUCAGAUAUUGUGUAGCCCAAACUAUAUUAUCCAAAAUGUCCUUAACACAUGCAGUAAAGUGGAAUUUGAGGGAAAUUUAGCUACUACUUCUAGAAGGUACUUUCCAGUUAUUAUUGUUAAUGAAAUGGAAAAUAAUAUGUAUAUAAGUUUGACUUGGAAUUGUUUUCAUUAGUGUUAUAUAUUUGACAAUCUUCAUCCAACAUACCAUAUGUUUGAUUAUUUCUGUUCGUUAAGGUGGUGGAUCAACAGAAUCAUUAGAGCAGUAAUUGUUUUGACUCUUUACAUUCUGAGUUCAAAUCCCACCAAGCUUAGCUUUCAUCCUUUCAUGGUCUAUAAAUAAACUACCAGUCAUCAGGUACGAGAGCUGAUACUAUCAACUGUUCCUCUUUCUCUCCAAUUUUUGGCCUUUUUUGCCUUUAGUACACAUUAUUCCUUUCAUAACUAAAAGCUUAAAAUCUCUGUUACAUUUAUUUGUUUUAUGUAGACAUUUAAAAUUCUAUUAUAUUUAUGCGUUUGUGACUAUAUUUGUCGUACCCCAGUGAUUUGAAUAUAGGUUCAUAAAUUGGCAGCUAACAUUUGUAAAACAAGCUGGUGUCAACAGAUGUGGGCGAUCACUUUUCAAACCAAUCAGCUGCUGCAUCUAUCAUAAUGAGAUUAUUGUAUACAGGGCUCAGGUGCACCACAACUUGUCAAAAGUGCAUAUAAAGCAUAUGCAGUAAUGUACAAAUGUCUGGGAAGCGAACAGUGUAUGAGUCAGAUACAUGCUUGCGUGUGUACGGAGGGGAGAAAGUCAGGUGUAGUGUUGGUGAAUCUCAGGAAGCAUGGAAGUUUUGAAGGAUGCAGUGCUCCGACAACUAACAACUGAUGCCGGCAGUUUGUUCCAUGCUUCAGCAACUCUUUGUGUGAAAAAAAAAUGUUUCUGAAAGUCAUUGGAGCUGUGCUGUUUUCUGACUUUGUAAACAUGUCCACGGGUGUUAGACGGGUGGAGUUUGAAAAGGUGCUCAGAGUUAUUGUUUGUAAGCUGGUUAAUAAUUUUAUGGGUGUCUGCCAAGUCAGCUGCCAGACGUCGGAGUUUCAAUGUAUCCAUGACCAGGGAAGUAAGGCAUUCAGAAUAUGGCAAAUGCCUGAUGGAGGGUAUUCUCUUGGUUGCACGUCGUUGAACAGUUUCCAGACGAUGAAUAUCCAGACAGUUUCCAGACGAUUAUAUCAUCACUUUUCUAAUUAAUUAGUGACACAGACCAAUGCUAUGUUCACAAACAUUGCUCUACUGAAUGAUGAUGUUGCAAAAACUUAGCAACUGAAAUUAUUGGUUGUAUCUGUUGAUUAUGAAGCCCAGUCCUUUGUGGUAGUAGGACUGGUCCACAUGGCUCAGACAAGCAGUUUUAUGUUGCAGUGUACCCUUUGGCACAGCAAAGAUACCAGAGGGUGCAGUUGUCAUGGCAACAGAUGCAGUAGCUAUGGACUGCUGAUCAGUUAUAAAAUCGAUUAGGUAUACACUGUAAAGUGGGUGGUGUUAGGACAUCCAACUGUAGAAACGAUACCAAAGCUGACACGACCUAUUGGGUCCUGUCAAAACAUCCAACCCAUCACAGCAUGGAAAAUGGAUGUUAAUUGAUGGUGAUGAUGACAACAAAAGAAUCGUUGCAUUAGUGAAGAACAGCUAACUGAAACUCUUAAUCCCUCUUAUUUCUAUUUUUGUAUUAAAUCAGCUCCUUUUUCAGUUUGGUUUUAUUAAGACUCUAACCCUGGAUGGGUCGUUCUCUGGUUUACUCUCAGGGUUUUAGUCUUUCUGAUUUGGUUGGAUUUUUCUCAUUUCGAGUCGGUUGUUGUGAUAGUUUCAAAUGCCUUGAAACUAAGAAAAUUAAAGAAUAUAUAUCUAUAUACAUAUAUAUCUCUCUAUACAAUAUGUUACAUUAUUCGGUAGUCAAGAUAAAACUCUGAGUUUCAGAUGCCGAAGUGGAAAUCCACAACACCAUCUCUUCGGUUAUCUGGCUAUUUGAAAACGUUAUGAAAAAAUACCGUUAAAUAAAGGGAAAUUACUCUGUUAUAACUCUGCUUGCCUGCGUACUUAUACAUCGCUCGCAUUUUUCGUCAUAAAAAUUAUAUAAAAAUACAUAAAAAAUAUAUAAAAAUAUAUAAAUUCUUCUUGGGACAUAACAUAGAAGGCAUGUUCUAUCUGUUUUCUUUAGGGGACCAAAAACGUAACAGAAAUUUAGUCACAUGUGGGCAUGAUCCAAAAAGCUCUGUCCUUGUAUUUAGACAUGUAGUAGGGUCUAAGCUGCUUUUCCAGAUAAGCCAUUUCUCCAUGUCGCAUAGACCGCACCUUCCGCUGCCGUUAGUAUAGGGCUUACAUCUGGCCAAAAUCUUCCAUUGUAUGUUAUAAUCGACACCUUUAUCUCUUAAAGACCAAAUAUGAUUAGACAAUUGUGUCGCUUUUCUUUUGUUCCAGUGCCUAAAGCUCAAAGUGUGGUUAUUGAACCUGGCCUUGAAAUUACCCUCUGUAAGGCCCACGUAUUUCUUCGUCGAAACGGUGUCUUUAGUGGUUAUAGAGUUUACGGUAGCUUCAUAUAUGAUGGUCUUGGACAUGCAAGCUCCAUUUAGCGGGCACAAUUCUUUAUUCCUGCAUGAACAGCUGUUUUCUUCUUGUGUUUUUUGUAUGUUAUGUUUGAUUAUGUUUUUAAAAUUGGUAGUUGAACUAAAACUAAUUUUUAAAUUGUGUCUAUUGAAGAGUUUCCUAUAAGUAUGGUUAACUGGAAAAUGUCUAUCUAUCAGUGCUAGGAAAUAUUUACCUAUAUUGAAGGCCACCUCGGGUGAGUAAGGGGGCGUAAACCAGAUGACCUUCCUAUUUCUAUUAUUCCUUUUCCUUACUGUUGGGCUAGUGAUAGGUGUAUAUUUUAUUUUAUCACUAAAACCACUAUCUUUUAAAGCCUUAUUAUAAACUGGGGCAACGCUAUUGAAGAUGUCCUCAUCAGAUGAGAGGCUAGAAAUCCUCUUACUAAUAUUUUUAACUAAAUUUUUGAAUACUAUAGGGGGAUGGCAUGAACCUACAUUAAUAUAACUUAGUCUAGGUUCAUGUAGGUUCAUGCCAUCCCCCUAUAGUAUUCAAAAAUUUAGUUAAAAAUAUUAGUAAGAGGAUUUCUAGCCUCUCAUCUGAUGAUACAUCUUAUGGAGUUUCUACCUACACCUUUUCUACAUAUCAAGUAGGGCCACCUACCUGAAGGGGUGUGUGGUGACUUAGCCUUCUUACUUACUAGAACUUUGGUCUUUGCUACAUUGACUUAGAAUCAAUUCUAGAAUCAAUUCUAAACCUAGCUUCCACACACGAAAUUUCUUCUCUAGUUCCGGUAGUGAUUCUGCUAUGAGGGCUAAGUCAUCAGCAUAGAGGAGCUCCCAGGGGCAUCCUGUCUUGAAUUCCUCUGUGUGUGUGUGUGUAUAUAUAUAUAUAUAUAUAUAUAUAUAUAUAUAUCUGAGUGUGAUCGUUGCCAGAGCAGCAACCUGGCUUCCAUGCCGGUGGGACGUAAAAAGCACCAUUUGAGCGUGAUUGUUACCAGUAUUGCCUUACUGGCACUUGUGCCGGUAGCAUGUAAAAAAACAUUUGAGCGACGUCAUUGCCAGUGCUGCUGGACUGGCUCCUGUGCACGUGGCAUGUAAAAAACACCAUUUGAGCAUGGCCGUUGCCAGUACUGCCUGACUGGUUCUCUUGCUGGUGGCACGUAAAAGCACCCACUAUACUCUCGGAGUGGUUGGCAUUAGGAAGGGCAUCUAGCUGUAGAAACUCUGCCAGAUGAGAUUGGAGCCUGGUGCAGCCAUCUGGUUUGCCAGUCCUCAGUCAAAAUCCUCAGUCAAAUCGUCCAACUCAUGCCAGCAUGGAAAGCAGAUGUUAAACGAUGAUGAUGAUGAUGAUGAUAUAUAUCAUCAUCAUCAUCAUCAUUUAACGUCCGCUUUCCAUGCUAGCAUGGGUUAUAUAUAUAUAUAUAUAUAUAUAUUUAAGUAGGUGAAUGAAUUAUCCUAUGUUUAUCGUCAGCAUGUUGUCGAGAGAGGCUCCCUUUCUUUCCUGAUGAGAAGAUUGCAUAAUGCACCCUUUAUUCCUUUGGAAUGAAAACAGGCUGUCUUCGAAACAUGUCGAGAGUAAAGGAAUUUUGUUAACAUCUUCGUUCGACUCCAUUCUUUCAUUUAUUUAUAUAUAUAUAUAUAUAUAUAUAUGCACACACACAUAUAUAUACAUAUAUUUAUGUAGGGUUUUAGUCGAAGAAAUCAAUCCUAGGACUUUUUUAAAGCCUAGUACUUAUUCUAUUGGUCUCCUUUGCUGAACCGCUAAGUUAUGAGUAUGUAAACACUAGUUGUCAAGUGGUAGUUGUAGAACAAACACACACAAACAAUGCACACACACACACACACUCACACACACUCACACACACACACACUCACACACACACUCACACACACACACACACACAUACAUACGACGGGCUUCUUUCAGUUUGUUGACUAAAUCAACUCAUAAGACCAUAGUCAGCCCAAGGCUAGAGUAGAAGACACUUGCCCAAGGUGCCAUGCAUUGGGACUGAACCUGGGACCGUGUGAUUGGGAAGCAAGCUUCUUACCACAGAGUUCUGCCUGUAUAUAUAAUAAAUAUAUAAUAUGUAUAAUAUGAGCAAUAAUUAUUGCUACUCACUAAGGUGACUCAUUUUAGAUAUUUGUAUAGGCCAGUGCCCCUCCCCCAUGUUAACAAUUUAAAUGGGAUUUACUACAGAAGGUGGGGAGUUCUAAUCAGUUCAUAUUUAACCUUGGCACAUCAUGAGUCAUGUUUCUGUUCAUGGAUAAUACAAUGUCGGCAAUGUUGACAAAGAUUUUUUUUUAAGUAUCUUAACAAAAUAAAUAGGCGCAGGAGUGGCUGUGUGGUAAGUAGCUUGCUUACCAACCACAUGGCUCCGGGUUCAGUCCCACUGCGUGGCAUCUUGGGCAAGUGUCUUCUGCUAUAGCCCCGGGCCGACCAAUGCCUUGUGAGUGGAUUUGGUAGACGGAAACUGAAAGAAGCCUGUCGUGUAUAUAUAUAUAUAUGUAUAUAUGUGUGUGUCCUCCUAGCAUUGCUUGAAAACAGAUGUUGGUGUGUUUACGUCCCCGUCACUUAGCAGUUCGGCAAAAGAGACCAAUAGAAUAAGUACUGGGCUUACAAAGAAUAAGUUCCGGGGUCGAGCUGCUCGAUUAAAGGCGGUGCUCCAGCAUGGCCACAGUCAAAUGACUGAAACAAGUAAAAGAUAAAAGAAAGAUAAUUGUACCUGCUUAUAAUAUUUUAUUUCUCACUAUUUGAAACUAUUAGCCACACCUUCAUCACCAUUACCAUCCUUUAACGUCCGUUGUCCAUGCUGGCAUGGGUUGGAUGGUUUGACCAGGGCUGUUAAGCUGAGGGGCUGCACCAGACUCCAGUCUGAUUUGGCAUGGUUUCUAUGGCUGGAUGCCCUUCCUAACGCCAACCACUCUGAGAGUGUAAUGGGUGCUUCUGUGUGUCACCGGCAUGACACCAGUAUCUGCCAUAACUACGAUUUCACUUGGCUUGAUAGGUCUUCUUCUCAAACAAGGCACAUUGCCAAAGGUCUCGGUCAUUUGUCAUUGCCUCCAUGUGGCCCAAUGUUCAUUCAUGUACCAUUCAUGCAACACUGGCAUCAGGCACAUUGCCUCUGUGAGACCCAAUGCUCAACAGGUGCUUUUUAUGUGUCACUGGGAUGGGUACCAAUUACAUGACACUAGCAUUGGCCAUGACUAUGAUUUCACUUAGCUUGACAGGUCUUCUCAAGCACGCCCUAUUGUGUCCUUCAAAUAAUAUAUAUAUAUAUAUACAUAUAUAUAUAGUACCUUUCAAUCAUUGGGCAAUGAACUGUGCUUGAGCAAACCUGUUGAGUCAAGUGAAGUCAUUGCUGUGACCGAUGUCAGUACCACCUGACUGGCUCCUGUGCCAGUGGCAUUUAAAAAGCACCAUUCAAGUGUAGUCAUUGCCAGUGCCCCUGACUGGUUCUUGUACUGGAGGCAUGUAAAAAGCACCAUCCAAGCGUGGUCGAUGCCAGUACUGCUGGACUGGCCCCCAUGCUGGUGGCACAUAAAAAGCACCCACUACAUUCUUGGAGUGGUUGAUGUUAGGAAGGGCAUUCAGCUGUAGAAACCUCUGCCAGAUCAGAUUGGAGCUUGGUGCAGCCUUCUGGCUUGCCAGCCCUCAGUCGAACCGUCCAACCCAUGCCAACAUGGAAAUCGGACGUUAAACCACGGUGAUAAUGAUGAUAUCUGUGUAUUAUUCUUUUACUCGUUUCAGUCAUUUGACUGUGGCCAUGCUGGAGCACCACCUUUAGUCGAACAAAUCAACCCCAGGACUUAAUCUUUGUUAGCCUAGUACUUAUUCUUUUGGUCUCUUUUGCCAAACCACUAAGUUACAGGGACGCAAACACACCAGCAUCGGUUGUCAAGCGACGUUGGGGACACACACAUAUAUAUAUGACAGGCUUCUUUCAGUUUCUGUCCACCAAAUCCACUCACAAGGCUUUGGUCGGCCCGAGGCUAUAGCAGAAGACACUUGCCUAAGGUGCCACGCAGUGGGACUGAACCUGGAACCAUGUGGUUGGUAAGCAAGCUACUUACCACACAGUCACUUCUGCACCUAUUAUAUAUUGUUAUAUUUGGGGACGGUCAGUUUGCCAGUAAACACAUGCACUAUUUAUUUGAUCUUCACUUUAGCUUUAUUUUUAUUAUUAGUUUAUUAGAGUUCUUACAUCACAUUCUGUGACCCCAUCAAUGACUGCCUGUUUUUUGUUUCUCCUCUUCUCUCUGGUCCCAUCUAUUUCAUCUUGUCUUUUUAAACAUACACACACACACACACACAUUCAUUCAUCCAUUGCACACACAGAUAUAGGUGUGGCCAUGUUGUUAAAAUGUUUGGCCACGUGGUUUCUGGUGUAGUUCCAGUAUGUGACACCUUGAGCAAGUGUCUUUUACUAUAGUUCCAGGCUGACCCGCAAACACACACACAUCAUCAUCAUCAUUGUUUAACAUCUGCUUUCCAUGCUGGCAUGGGUUGGACGGUUUGACUGAAUACUGAUAAGCCAGGGAUCCACAGCAAAUUCUAAUCUGAUUUGGCAAGGUUUCUAUGGCUGGGUGCCCUUCCUAAUACCAACCACUCCAAAAGUGUAGUGGGUGCUUUUGAAGUUCCACCCCAUUGAUGUAAUAUUGACAUUAGCCAUAACUACAAUCUCACUUCGCUUGACAGGUCUACACAAGCGGGGUAUGUUGCCAAAGGUCUCAGUCACCUGUCACUGCCUCCAUGAAGUCCUGCACUCAAACAGUGUUUUAUACAUGCCACCAGCACAGGUGCCAGUCAGAUGGCACUGGCAUCAGCCAUGACUACGAUUUUACUUGGCUUCACAGGUCUUCUCAAGCACAGCAUAUUGCCUAACAAUUAAAGGGUGCUGUUUAUGUGCCAGUUACGCAACACUGGCAUCGGCUAUGACUAUGGUCUCACUUGGCUUGAUGUGUCUUCUCAAGCAUGGCAUAUCGUCAAAGGUCUCAGUCACUUGUCAUUGCCUCUGUGAGGCUCAACAUUCAAAGAUCAUGCCUCAACACCUUGUCCCAUGUCUUCCUGGGUCUACCUCUUCCACAGGUUCCCUCCAUCUUUUGAGUGCAGCACAUCUUCACACAUGCAUUUUAUAUCAGCAGCAGCAUCGUCAUUUCUUUUUAUUGUUCCCUUUUCCAUGCUUUCAUGGGUCAGAUGGUGGUUGGGGUUAUUGAGACAGAUAUUCUUUGACAGGUUGUCCUUCCUGUUGCCACCCCUGUCACCUGUUUCCAAGCAUGGUAAUAUUUCCCCAUGGCCAGAGAUGUUCUAGAAUAUUGGAAAUGAAUGACACUGCUGAUGUGAAAUGACACUUUUAUCUCAAGAGAUAUACACACACACACACACACAUGCAUGUAUAUGUGUAUAUACAUAUACGCGUAAGCAUGGCUGUGUGGUAAGAAGUUUGCUUCCAAACCACAUGGUUCUGGGUUCGGUCCCAAUGUAGGGCACCUUGGGCCAGACUUCUACUAUCGCCUUGGCCCAACCAAACCCUAGUGGGUGGAUUUGGUAGAUGAAAACUGAAAGAAGCCUGUUGUGCAGGUGUGUGUGUGUGUGUGUGUGUGUGCCCCACCACCAUUUCACAACUGGUGUUGGUGUGUUUAUGUCUCUGUAACAUAAUGGUUCAGCAAAACAAACAAAAAACAACAAUAGAACAAGUACUAGGCUUGUAAAAGAAAACAAAAAACAAAUCCUGGGGUCAAUUUGUUUGGUUAAAAUACUUCAAGGUGGUGCUCCAGCAUGGCUGCAGUCUAAGGAUUAAAACAAGCAAAAUAUAAAAGAUAUAUAUGUAUGAUGAUGGUGGUGGUGGCGGUGGUGGCAGUAUACAUACGCCAAACUUCUUUCUGCUUCCAUCUACCUCACAACCAUGCCUGUACCUAGUCAUACUUCCAUAUGUAUUUGGUGUCUUUUUCUUUUUGGGUUGUUACUUUAAUGAUUGGGAUAGUAUGUUUUCAAUACAACAUGCUUAUGAAGAGAUUUUCAUCUUAGCACCAAGCCUUUCAGUGGCAAUGAUGCACAGAGGGCCUUUUUAAUUUAAAUGCUGUUUCUUUUGCCUUUACCAAGUAUUUCUGCAGUCCAGCAAGCCCUUCACGAUACCUUUUCUACUCUAUGCACAAAGCCCAAAAUUUUUGGGGAGCACGCUAGUCGAUUAGAUCGACCCCAGUACACAACUGGUACUUAAGCCCUCCACAAUACCAUUGAAAGUAUUAUUCACUGCUUCUUAUAUAUUGGAGCAUGAAUUUCAUUUUAUCAAGGGACAAACAGGUGUGCAGCAUUGGUAAGCGCCAAUUAGGAUGAAACUUAUUUGUUGUUCUCAAUUGUGGCUGACACCAGUGCUGAUGGUAUGUAAAAAGCACCAAUCGAGCAUGGUAGAUGCCAAUGCUGCCUGACUGGUUCCUGUGCCAGUGGUAUGGAAAAGCACCAUUCGAGUGUGGUCGAUGCUAGUGCCACCUGACUGGCCCCCAUGCUAGUGGCACGUAAAAAGCACCCACUACACUCUCGGAGUGGUCGGCAUUAGGAAGGGCAUCCAGCUGUAGAAACCUUUCCAUAUCAGAUUGGAGCCUGGUGCAGCCUCCUGGCUUGCCAGUCCUCAGUCAAACCGUUCACCUCAUGCUAGCAUGGAAAGCGGACGUUAAACGAUGAUGAUGAUGAUGUGUUAAUGCUGUGGUGUUGUUCUCUUUGAUCCAAUAUAUAUAUAUAUAUAUUUUGUGUUUCUAACACAUUGUAUCCAUGAAGAGAUUAAGACAGUUUGCCGGACAAAGCUUCAUAAAAUUUAUUUGAUUUUUGUUCAAAGUCAACUUUGCCUUUCAUAUUGAGUUGGGGUUCAUAAAAUAAGUACCAGAUAAGCACUGGGGUUGAUAUAAUUGACACCCCACAAAUUUCAGGCCUUGUGCCUAUAGUAGAAAGGAUAUCUAUGAAGUGAUUUUCUCUCAGACAAAAACCACAGCUUCCUACCUUUCAGCAGUGUUUAUACAUUUAGUAUGAUAUGCAGAUAACAUUUUCAUUUAUACAUUUUAUCGACCAGCUGAAACAUCAUUUCAUUUUAUAGAUAUAGUUCACAGAAAUUUGUUUCAGAUUUAUUUUAGAAGGAAAAAUUAAUUGAAUAAAAAAUACAUUGUAGCAAAUUCAUAAAAAUUUCAACAAAAGACAUUUCAUUACCAGGUCUAGUUACCCAAAUUCAACUCUAUUUUCUUUCUGAGCAAUUAAUCUCUUGGCAGGUCCUGCUCCUCCUUCUCCUCCUCGUGUUGCUGCCACCUCCAAUACCACCAGCUCUGUUAAUAUUGCUAUCACAAUAAUCUCUGACAUCAAUUUUUUUCCUUCUUUUAUUAACCUGAAAUCUAAAAUCUAUUUGUGGUUCUGAUGCAACUGCAUUGUUUUCUCUUGACUGAACCGAAUAAAUCUUUGUUAGUUUUGAGUUUUUCUUUUUCUACAACGAGAAUAAGUCUAUGGGGAAUAAUAUUUGUAAAUACUUGUAUUUACUCCUGCUGGUGCCACAUAAGAAGCUCCUGUGCUGGUGUCGUGAGAAAAGCAUCCAGUACACUUUGUAAAGGGAUUUGCAUUAGGAAGGACAUUCUGUCAUUGAAACCAUACCAUAACUUCUCCCUGGAUGAACUCUGCAGCCAAUAAGCACAUAAACAAAGCACAUUAUGAGUGUGUGUAUGUGUGUGUGUGUGAGAGAUGGGCUGCUUUCUGUUUCUGUCUACUCGUUUCCACUUACAAAGCUUUGGUCAGCCUGGGGCAGUGGUUCUGAACCUGUGGUCUGUGGACCUCUGGUGGUUCAUAGACAUAGAUUGUACUGGGGGUCCAUGAACUAAAUUCUAAAUUUCAUAUAUACAUACAUACAUACAUAUAUAUAUAUAUAUAUAUAUAUAUAUAUACUAGCUGAGACAACGUGGCAUCAAAAAUAAUGGCUAAUUGUAGUAUUUUAUAUAUAUAAAUAAGAUACAAAAAUAAGGUUACAUAAUAAUCACACAUACAAACAUUCACAUACUUCCCUUGUACAUGCACACACACAUACACACAUAUACUCACACUGAGUUGAAACACUGAUUUUUUUUUUUCACCUCUUCCUUAUUCAUUUAUUGCCCUUUCUUUUCUCUCAUUGCUAUUACUUUCUCUCACUCCCUUUCAGUCAGGGCUAUUAUUCUCACUACUUCUCCUUCACUGAAUUACUAUUUUCUCUCCUCCUCCACGUCUGACAUGAUUCUGGACAAAUAUAUAUAUAUAUAUAUAUAUAUAUAUAUAUAUAUAUAUAUAUAUAUAUAUACUCUUUACUCUUUUACUUGUUUCAGUCAUUUGACUGCAGCCAUGCUGGAGCACCGCCUUUAGUCGAGCAAAUCGACCCCGGGACUUAUUCUUUGUAAGCCCAGUACUUAUUCUAUCGGUCUCUUUUGCCAAACCGCUAAGUGACGGGGACGUAAACACACCAGCAUCUGUUGUCAAGCAAUGCUAGGGGGACAAACACACACACAUACACACACAUAUAUAUAUAUAUAUAUAUAUAUAUAUAUAUAUAUAUACGACAGGCUUCUUUCAGUUUCCGUCUACCAAAUCCACUCACAAGUCAUUGGUCGGCCUGGGACUAUAGCAGAAGACACUUGCCCAAGAUGCCACACAGUGGGACUGAACCCGGAACCAUGUGGUUGGUUAGCAAGCUACUUACCACACAGCCACUCCUGUAUAUAUAUAUACAAACAAAUGAAAACACUACAUUCAUUAUUAUAUUAGGAGAUAUAUAUGCAUAACGAUAAGAAUAUUAAGAGUGUUCUGUGGGAAAACUCAUUUAAAUAAAGAGGUUCUUGGUAGUGAAAAGGUUGGCAACCACUGGCUUGUGGCUUGAAUAGAAGACACUUGCUCAAGGUACCAUGCAGUGGGACUGAACCAAGAACCAUGCAGUUGUGAAGUAAACUACUUAAUCAUGUCUGCACCUGUCUUCUAAUUUUGUUGAUGGUAAAAUAUAAGGUUGAAUUCUGUUCAUUUCUUUUUAUCAAAACAUUAAUUCAAAUCAAUAAAUUUCUGAACUUUUAAAACUCAAUGCUUAAUUUUUUUUAAUUAACAUCCAUUAUUUGAUGACUGCUGAUUGAAAGACAGACAUUUCAAACUUAAGCUUUGUUUGUUUUUCAUUUUACAUUCUUAUAUUGGUUAUUUCAAAAUAUUUCUGUCUGCAGAAAUCGAUAUCAAUAACUUAUAUGAGAGGUAAUAUUAAUAUUUAUAUUGUGGAACUUCAUUGGUUAUGCCGACGAGGGUUCCAGUUGAUCCAAUCAAUGGAACAGCCUGCUUGUGAAAUUAACGUGCAAGUGGCUGAGCACUCCACAGACACGUGUACCCUUAAUGUAGUUCUUGGGGAGAUUCAGGGUGACACAGAGUGUGACGAGGCUGGCCCUUUGAAAUACAAGUACAACGGAAACAGGAAGAAAGAGUGAGAGAAGGUUGUGGUGAAAAAGUACAUCAGGGUUCGCCAUCACCCCUUGCCAGAGCCUCAUGGAGCUUUAGGUGUUUUCACUCAAUAAACACUCACAACACCCGGUCUGGGAAUUGAAAUUGCGAUCCAAUGACUGCAAGUCUGCUGUCUUAACCGCUGGGCCAUUGUGCCUCCACAAUAUUUAUAUAUGAGGCGGGUGAAAAAUAGAAUCAAGUCAACUAGAAAUACACAAGAAAACAUAAAAUAUUGUUACAAAUAAUGAAACUAAUCCAGACACAAACUAUUGCCUUAAGCAUAAUUAUUUAACUGCAGCUUAAAAAUAAUGUUAUCAAAAAGUUUUAUUGGGAAAGGUUCUGCAAGUUUUUCAGUGACCUUACUUGUGUUGGUGUCGUGAUAGAAGCAGCCAGUACUUUCAUACAGAGGUUGAUGUUAGGAAGGGUAUGUCAAAAGAGUCAUUGAGCUCAAUAUAAUGCCCCUGUUCAUUGGAUCCUAGUCAAACUGUCCCACCCGUGCCAGCAUGGAAGACAGAUGUUGAUGAUAUAAAAGAUGACCUUUAUAAGACACUUUCUCUUACAAAGUGUAGAGUAACUGUGUUGUGAGACUAAUUUCAAUAUGUCAAAUGUGCUAUAAAAUAAGCUGAUAGCAAAGUUAGAUGUUUAUCUCAGAUACCUUUGAUAUGAUUCUAAUAGUAGAAAGCCUGUAUCAAGUAGCACGACUUUACAUUAUUUUUAUCUAUUUUCCCAAAAGCUGGAAUAUAAGUGCAGGCCUGGCUGUGUGAUAAGAAGCUUGCUUCUCAAUCACAUGGUUCCAUGUUCUGUCCUACAGCGUAGCACCUUGGGUAAAUUGUCUUGUACUAUUGCCUUAAGGUGACCAAAGAUUUGGUAGAUGGAAACUGAAAGAAUCCCACUGUAUGUGUGUGUCCCAUUGCUGCUUGACAAAUGGAGUUGGUAUGUUUACAUCUUUGUAACUUAGUGGUUCAGCAAAAGAGGCUGAUAGAAUAAGUACCUGGCUUUAAAAAAUUGUACAGGAGUCGAUACAUUCGACUAAAAAUUCUUCCAGACAGUGCCCCAGCAUGGCCGUAGUCUGACUGAAACAAAUACAAGACAAAAGAUCUAUAACCUUGAUUAAAUCAACAUGUUAACAAAACGUUCUUUCAAUCAGCAUCCACUGCCUCAAUGGAUGCUGAAGAGAAUUAUUCUUUUACUUGUUUCAGUCAUUUGACUGUGGCUAUGCUGCAGCACCACCUUUACUCAACCAAAUCGACCCCAGGACUUAUUCUCUGUAAGCCUCUUUUGCUGAACCGCUAACUUACAGGAACGUAAACACAGUGAUGUCAGUUGUCAAGCAAUGGAACGGGGACACAAACGUAGACACACACACAAAUAUAUGCAUACACACACACACACACACACAUUUUUCAGGUUCAGUCCCGUUGCACGGCACCUUGAGCAAGUGUCUUCUACUAUAGCCUCGAGCUGACCAAAGCCUUGUGAGUGGAUUUGAUAGAUGGAAACUGAAAGAAGCCUGUUGUGUGUGUGUAUAUAUAUAUAUAUAUACAAAUUGAGAUAGGGGUUGUAAAUGCAACCCUCCAUGGGAUAACAUAUAUCCAAUAUACUGCCAGUGAAGUACCCAACAAAGUUAAUACAUAAAUGUUAAUGAUUGCAAUGCAAUCAAUUCAUUUACUGUAUUAUAUGGGCAAAGGUAAAAUGUUUUACCACAAAUUACUAAUACAAGAAAAUGGAGAAAUACAUCUAAAUCAAAUGUCAUAUACCAGAUAAUACUCAAUCACAUACUUUAUUAAACCACCACAUAAGAGACUGUAGGGUUAAAUAUAAAAGCAGAACAAAUCAGUGUACAUAAAGGAAUGUACAUAAAAAAGUGUACAUAAAAGAGUAAUGUUGUAUAAUACUCUUUUAUGUACACUUUUUUAUGUACAUUCCUUUAUAUACACUGAUUUGUUCUGCUUUUUAUAUUUAUCCCUACAGUCUCUUAUGUGGUGGUUUAAUAAAGUAUGUGAUUGAGUAUUAUCUGGUAUAUGACAUUUGAUUUAGAUGUAUUUCUCCAUUUUCUUAUCUUGUAUAUAUAUAUAUAUGUGUGUAUGUGUGUAUAUAUAUAUAUGUGUGUAUGUAUAUAUAUACACACACAAUGGGCUUCUUUCAGUUUCCAUCUAUCAAAUCCACUCACAAGGCUUUGGUCAGCCUGAGGCUAUAGUAGAAGGUUCAGUCCCAUUGCCCAAGGUGCCGUGCAAUGGGACUGAACCUGAAACCAUGUGGUUGGGAAGCGAGCUUCUUACCACAGCCACUCCUGCUCUUAAGAAUUGUGUAAAAACACAAAAUUAAAGCUCUCUUCAUCUUCAUUGAAUAUCUGCUUUCCAGGCUGGCAUGGGUGGUUGAAUGGUUUGACAAGAACUAGCAAGGCUGGUUAGCCACACCAGCUGUUUUGGCAUAGUUCCUGCCGUUGGAGACCCUUCCUUGUGCCAAUCAAUUUAUAGAGUGUACAGUGUGCGUUUUAUGUGGCACCAGCGCCAGUGAUUCUAAUAAGAUUUGAUUAUGUUUUAGUUGGAUGGCUGUUAGUAAUACAAAGUACUAUAAAGUUUUUGUUCUCUCUGGUGUUUUCAAUGUUGAUGGAGACAAACGUUUUUGUAUUUUUCUAAUACUGGAAUGAACAUUUAAUGUGAUUUGAUGGCUGAUGGAUGAAAAAGAAAGUAUUAAAAGGAACAGAGUGUUGUUUCAAUUUUUAUCAGUAGUUUGGGACCACAGAUGCUAUUUAUCUUUAUGAUGGGGCAUUUGCUAGAAAGAUAUUCAGAAGAGAUAAAGUGGAACUACAUCUUAAAUGUGUUGACGUAACUCCACACCCACCCUGUCCUAAAAAAAAAAAAGGAAAGAUAUAUCGAUAUCUCAUAGUCUGUUAUAUUAUCUGAUAAGGUAUAUUAUCUGGUGGAAAUGAUUCUGUAAUUAAGUACGAUGGAUGUAGCUGAGCAGUACUCGAGAGACGAGAGACGUAUAUCUUGGGAAUAUCACUUUAUGAAAUACAACUGAUAUAUUACCAAAACAUUUAUUGGGGCCUUUCCUGAAAAUGAUUGCUACAUAAAAAAAAAAAAAAAAAAAAAACAGCUCUCCAAGAGGAGCUGCUUUGGAUAGAACCCAUUAAUUCAGAUUUUCCUUUUUCUCUUUAAAGAAAAAGGUAUAUAGUUUGGCUUUGAAACUGUUCAUCAUAAUUUUCAUCAUCACUGUCAUCAUUUGUUAUUGUUGCCAUUUUAUCAUCAUCUUUGUCAUUGCCAUCAUCAUAGUUUUUCAUCCACUUGUCUUUCUUGGCAUGGAUGGGAUGGGAUGGGUUGUCACAUUCCUGAUUUCGAGUGACUGUCCCCCUAGACUGGUCAGGGACCACAUCUCACUCAUGCAUACAUUCCGUUUUAAAAUGUUUUCUAUGGCUGGUUUCCUUUCCUAUCACAUUGUUUCAUAAAAUAUGCUGGACUUCUUUCUUGCACCAGCAAUAGAGAGAAAACGAUUACUGUCUGUCUGUGUUUGUCACUCUCUCUCUCUCUCUCUCUCUCUCUCUCUCUCUCUCUCUCUCUCUCUCUCUUUCUCACUGCGUGUGUGUACAUCCAUGUGUGUGUCUCUGUGUGCAUUUAAAUUAUAUUUUUGUCUCUUGAAGUCUUGUUAAUAACAUCAAAUCUAAACUGAAAUACACUUCAGACAGAAAAUGCCAAAGUUUUGUUCAUUGCACUUUAAAGCAAGAAUCUUGUAUCAGAGAACCAGGGUGGUGGUGGUGGUGGUGAUGAUGUUUACAGACGAACUGGUAUCAAGAGUUAACUCAAAAUUUCAUAUUAAUCUUGUUUUGCAAAUAUUUUUCUGUAAUUUCCAAGGAGCUCAAUGCUCCAAGCAAUAAAUUAGAUAAUGUAAAGCAACGCAAUGUCAGUUCAACUCGGUUUGUUUCAUCCAGCUUUCCCCCCGCUUUCCCGCCUUAGUUAAUAACUCUGGUAUCUAUGAAAGAAAUAAAUUAUCUAAGAAGUUGUUGCUGUUGUUAGUGAAGAGGAUACAGAUUGUCAGAAGAAAUUUAUUAAACAAGAUGUUCUCAUAAAGCCAGCCUGUUGAAAGCAUCAUAUCUAAUAAUGAGUAAGUCAUAUCUACACAAAAAAAGAAUGGGAGAAUCCCACCCAGCAGUAUGAUAUAAAGAUACAGAGGUCACGAAAAAGUAGGGAGAUAAGACCUGAAAUGAUUUGAAGUGAUAAGUAGUAAAAUAAAUGAAUAAUACGAUACAUUUUCUAAGCAGAACAGAACUUCCUAAAAGAAUAAUAAAAAUUUGUAUAUCGUUUUAAGUGGCUGAGAGCUGGAAUUUUGGAAGAAAAUAUAUGGAAACACGUCAAAAAAAUAUUUUAUUUUUUUUAUUCUUUUACUCGUUUCAGUCAUAUGACUGCGGUCAUGCUGGAGCACUGCCUUUAGUUAAACAAAUCGACCCGAGGACUUAUUCUUUGUUAGCCUAAUACUUGUUCUAUCAGUUACUUUUGCUGAACCGCUAAGUUAUGGGGACGUAAACACACCAACAUCAGUUGUCAAGCGAUGGUGGGGGGGAGAAACACAAUAAACUUUCAACUCUGUGCCACACAAAAGGCUUAUGGUGAAACUCUCUGCAAUGGGUGUGGGGGAUGACCUUUUUAACUGGUUGAAAUCCUUCAUCCUCAGCCGAAAGGAGGUAGUCACAGUUCUAGGACAGCACUCUACACCAUAUGAGAUGUCAUCGGGUGUACCACAGGGAUCUGUCCUUGGUCCCCUCUUGUUUGUGGCAUACAUUAAUGACAUAGAUGCCAAUUUAAAGAAUGCCACAGUAUUGAAAUAUGCAGACGACAUCAAGCUGUACCUUGAAAUCAAGAGGACAGAUCCUGAUGUCUACAACUCUUUCCUGCAAUCAGACCUAGACACAAUGCAGCAAUGGAUCACAGACUGGCAACUGAAACUGGCUGUGGACAAGUGUACCACCAUGCAUUUUGGGAGAAAAAAACCCUGCGUCCACAUACUCCCUCCACAACACUGAUAUCAAGAAAUCCUCUUGCGAGCGUGACCUAGGCAUCACUGUCAGCAGUGAUUUGCGUUGGACAAAGCAUAUCUCUAAAAUUGUCAAGAAGGCCAAGGGUGUCUUGGCAUCACUCAGCAAGACUUUUGUUAGUCGCUCUCCAGCCAUCUAUUUAAAACUGUAUACAGCUAUGGUACGACCAGACUUGGAAUUCGCAUCAUCAGUUUGGAACCCCUAUCUUGCUCAGAACAUUGACCUCCUGGAAUCUGUCCAGAGACGUGCAACCAAACGCAUAUCCUCCAUCAGACACCUACCAUAUUCUGAGCGCCUUGUUUCCCUGGGCAUGGAUUCACUGAACCUCCGGCGUCUGGCGACGGACUUGGUAAACACCCACAAAGUUAUCAACCACCUCACCAACAACACUGAACACCUUUUUGAUCUCCAUGUGUCUAACACACGUGGACAUGCCUACAAAGUCAGAAAACAACACAGCUCCCAUGACUUUUGGAAACAUUUUUUCACGCUCAGAGUUGCUGAAGCAUGGAAUAAACUGCCUGCGUCAGUUGUUGACUGCCAUGACACUGCAUCCUUUAAGGCGCUCAUGCUUUCCGAAAUCCGCCGAAACUACACCUGAUUAUAUAUACACUUUAGAUGAGUUGUAGUGCACCUGAGCACUGUACACAAUUAUUAUUAUUUUAUUAUUAUUUAAACACAUGCACACACACACAUAUAUAUACGAUAGACUUCUUUCAGUUUUUGUCUACCAAAUCCACUCACAAGGCUUUGGGCGGCCUGAGGCUAUAGUAGAAGACACUUGCCCAAGGCACCACACAGUGGAACUGAACCCAGAACCAUGUGGCUGGUAAGCAAGCUUCUUACCAUACAGCCACUCCUGCGUCUUUGUUGGGGAUAACUAAAGAAAACCCAUGCCGGCAUGGAAGGCGGAUAUUAAACACGACCAACCACAAAGACGCUGCCCCUGCCAAUAACAGCCCAGUUUUGCUAUCAUGUAAUACUCUGUGCUUGUCAGAGCUUGCAGGUAUGGAAAAUAUAUGGUGACUGCCCUCUGUUAUUGGAGGUAAAAAAACCACAUCUGAUUUGUGGACACUGUGAAAAGAGACAAAACAAACUGAACAAGGUAACCCUUGUUCAGUUUGUUUUGUAUUUUCACAUCAAGGCUUGUUUAGACCCAAAGGUCUCUGAGAUGUAAGUCUACAAAAGUUUUCUGAAAAUGUGUGUAGGGGUUAGGGGUUGGAAUUCAUGUGGGGGUAUUAUCAGGUCAUCCCAUAAGUUCUGUCCAAAUUUUGAAUGAAGAAGACAAGUCAUCAAAUGUUAUAUUUAAUUGAAAUUUAAUAAUCAAUGAACUUUCCCUGAUUAUCUAUGACUUUCUUCCAUCUAUUUACAAGCUUUUUAAUCCCAUCAAUGUAAAACUCUUUUGGUUUCAAAGUGAAGAACUCUGAAAUGUCACAUAAAAAUAGCUAGGAUAAUUCCACAAUAAAUGUUAGGAUCUAUCGAGAUAAAUUGUUUUAUGUAUUUAUAUAGUGCUGCUAUCACAUUAAAAGCACCAGUGCUGGUGCCACAUAAAAAGUACCCUGUACCCGGUGGUGCCACAGAAAGUGGUUGACAUUAGGAAGGGCAUCCAGCUGCAGAAAACAAGUCAAAGUAGACUAUGGGACCUAAUGCAGCCCCCAGUUUGCCAGCCCCUGUCAAGCCAUCCAACCCAUACCAGCAUGGGAAACAGACAUUAAAUGAUGAUAUUUUCUUUCCAAUUGAUCACAUGACAUACUGUUCAAUAUUUCUGUUACUAGGGACAGCAACAGCGUUGUUCUUUUAUUUUUUGGCAGUAAUAGCUGUUUUCACUCUCUCUCUCUCUCCCUAGUACUAGCAGUGGUGGUGUUGGUAAUGGCAGCAGCAAUUUUCCUCUCACUCUCCAGCUGCCUCUCCCACUUCUUUAUUCCCUUUCCUUUCGCUUCCCCUAUGUCACUUCACCCCCACCCCCCUGCUAUAAUAUAUACACCUUACAUUCACACAACCACUUUUAUAUAUAAUAACAACAACAACAACCCUUCCAACCGGUUUUUAAGUUCUAUUAUUUUAUUUUAAUUGCUGUCACAUUCUCUUUUUUCCUAAACUUCAUAGCUGCUAUCUUUUUAAAACACAAAAGUGAAACUGCUGUUCUUUUGUUCUCAUUCAUAAAAUUCGAUCCUGAUUUUCUGUGUGUGUAAAUGUUUGAUUAGUUAUUGUAUUGAGGAUUUUAAUAUUUUUACUACUCUAGGCACAAGGAUUGAAAUUUUGGGGGAGGGGGCCAGUUGAUUAGAUUGACCCCAGUAUGCAACUGGGUCUUAAUUUAUUGAUCCCGAAAGGAUAAAAGGCAAAGUCGGCCUUGGUGGAAUUUGAACUCAGAACAUAAAGACAAAUAAAAUACCGCUAAACAUUUUGUCCAGUGUGCUAACGUUUCUGCCAGCUUGCUGCCUUAUUGAGGAUUUUAAUAUUGACUUGAUGGAAUAAUAGCUAAGGAUGGCUGAUAUAGUCACAACAAAAUAUUGUUUCUUAGGGUGGCUAAUCUAAUAAUUGGAGAAUAUUCUUUCCUUCCUCCAUCACCUUCUGCAACCAUUCACCAUCCACACACAACCUAGAUAUCACUUGCCAAACUUGCAGUGAUUCUAUUAACAGAGAUCUUGACAGCAUCCUCUAGUGGGACCAUGACUAUCUCGUCUCUUUCAAUAGUAAAAGUAGCUUAUUAUUAUCAUCACCAACCCCUGGGCAUUACUAUCUUGAAUCCUAGGACUCACUCAUAAGGCUGGUUACCUGCUUUCCAUGACUGAGAUCACAACAUUCCCCUUGGAUAGGAUGUGAGUCCAUCACAGCUUUAUUCGUUUACAGGUAGGUGGACUGAAAACGACAUGAACUGAGGUGUUUUGCUCAACAACACAAAGCCCUGCCUAGUCUGAGAAUUGAAAUCAUCAUAUUGUGAUCAUAAGUGCAGCAACCUAACUUACUAGGCCACAUAUCUUCACUAAAUGAAAAAAAAAUGUAACUCUUAUUUAGAAAACACUACCCCACAUUUCUAAAUAUGUGUGACACUCAGCUAGGGCCCUCAGAGUCACCCCAAAUGGUGUGGCUCACUAUCACUGAAUAUCUCGAAAGUACAUCCUUAACAAUAACUAAGACAACAUCACAAGGAUUAGAUCUUAUCUUUAGAACCAGAAAACUAUCCAGUUCUCAACAGUUGCUGGUAUUCUACAAGGCUCAGGAGAUCACAGUGCACCCGCCCACCUGGGAUGGUGCUGGUGUUACACCCAUGGACCACAUUCAAUCACUUGGAUGAUUGACUUUAAAUCAGCACAAGUCUAGUAGUAUCUCCUCUUUUUGCUUUAUUCUGUUGCUACUACAAUGGCCGCUUCUCCUUCUACUACUCAUGCACUGCUGAUUCAUUCAUCUUUCUAUUUUUCAUCAUCCUUGGUACAUCUGACCCUUGUCUUUUUUCUUUGCACUAACCACUAUACCCAGUCCUUCCUCCUCAAAGUAUCAUCCCACUGGAAUCUUCUCUCCCUGCUCAUAUCUUGCCUGCAAGUAUUGACCUGCAACAAUUUAAAUAGAACAUCUACAGCCUCAGUCUUCUCUCCAGUCACUCGAGGGACUGUAAAAGUCAUCGGCUCUGCCUCUUCCCUGAGAAUAUUUCCUGAAGUUGCAAGAUGUAGUGACCAAUAGAGGAAAGGGAAACAUGAUUGGGUGGUGAUUACAACUGUCGGACUUAUGAGUGAUUAAAAUUAUCCUGCUUGCUGCAUAACUGUGUUAUCAACUUACUUUACUAUUUAUUUUCCAUGCAGAUGACAAGUCUAAGUAAUUAUCCUUAGGCUUUACAUUGUUUUAUCAUAGCAGCGUAUGUACAUUGUGUCAUCAUCAUCAUCAUUGUUUAACGUCCACUUUCCAUGCUGGCAUGGGUGGAACGGUUGGACUGAGGACUGGCGAACCAGAUGGCUGCACCAGGCUCCAAUCUGUUCUGGCAAGGUUUCUACAGCUGGAUGCCCUUCCUAAUGCCAACCACUCCAAGAGUGUAGUGGGUGCUUUUACGUGCCACUGGCACGAGGGCCAGUCAGGCGGUUCUGGCGACGGCUACGCUCAAAUGGUGUCUUUUAUAUGCCACCUGCACAUGUUUUUCAUGUGCCACCGGCAAAGGUGCCAGCAAGGUGCUCCCAAUUGAUUUAUAAGACAUAUGAACAACUAUGCUUUAUUAAGGAAGUCUAACAAUACCUGAAUAUGUCUAGAGUUUCCAACCCUGUCUGCCAAUGAUCAGACAAGUUCUUUUGCUCCACCAUAUUGCUUGUUUCUAAUUAAUUUUAAUUGAAACCUUGGUGCAUCAACUCAUUUCACUCUUACUUUUGUUUGGUUGAUUUAAGCAUUGUUCAAAAAUGUUUACCUCUUCUCACUAUUGAUUAAUGAAAGCUAUUGUGUUUUGCACAUUAAGUGUGCCACUACUUAGAUAACUACAACCAGCUUCAGCAUUUCAAAAACUUUUCUACUGUUGUAUUGUUUAAUCUGUAGAAAAUAUGGAUGCACAGAGACAACAUUAAAAUUACAUAUAUCAGCUUUCCUCUAUUUUCCAUCUACCACCGAAAUUGCCAACAAUUUUCUGGUCCACAUUGUAAUAUAAUUCUAAAGUUGUCAAACAUGUUUUCCCAAACGUUCUGAAAACGGGUUUAAAACUGGAUAGUUGUUCAUGAACAGGAAAAUAAGUUUUAAGUAACAACAUUCAUUCAAUUAAGAUUUGCAUAAAAUAAUGUUGCAGGAAAAGUGUGAUACAUCUUUUUGUAUUUGCAAAGUUAAUGGCAUGCUUCAUGUGUCGUGAAACAGUGUUUGUGUUUGUCCAUUUUGAGGCCAGGCUGAGUUGAAAAUGUUGUAGUAUAGGUGGUUGUAGUAUUGGAAAACAGAUGGUGGUAAAUUAGUUAUUCAUCCUGCUUAAAGUUAUCUAACAUUUUAGACUAAUUGAGAGAGAGAGAGAGAGAGAGAGAGAGAGAGAGAGAGAGAGAGAGAGGGUGGUGGUGACAGGUUGCUACUAUUUCAUGCAGUUUUGAUAAUCAAAGAAAAGAGAGAAUGCAGUGGAACGUCUUGUGUCUGGCUACCAAGUUCCAUGUGGAAAAGAGAGAGAUUCUGUUGAGUUGAGAUUAUAUAGUCAAAAUGGCUGCCAGAAUACCAGUUUGUGGUCAACAUAAAAGUGAUGGGGGUGAAAAAAGGGGCGAAAGAAUAAUAGAUCAUCUGUUGUAUGAGAGGUUGCUACAAACCUCAUGUCCUGUGGUUGGAAAGCAAGCUUUUCAACCACACAGCUGCUUCUUUGUUCUCUUUCCUCUCAUGUUUCGUCCAUGUUGAGAAGUUUGCUUCCCGACCACAUAGUUUUAGGUUGAGUCCCACUGUGUGGGACCUUGAGCAAGUCUCUUCUACCAUAGCCCUGAGCUGACCAAACCCUUGUGAGUGGAUUUGGUAGACGGAAGCUGAAAGAGGUCUGUCAUUAGGCUUUAAAAACCGCAUCUGGUAGUGGGGUUCUGAUUCAGGCGUUCCAGGGCUUGGAGGAGAGUGGAACCACCUCUUAACCCCUAUUGUUCCCAAGUCUACUCCGACUCGAAAUAGUAGCAGUUGUCCAAGUCCCAGCUAUGGGCUAACCAGUAUAUUUAAGGAAGACAUUCCAUCUGAGUGACUCAGAAAUACCCUGGUUGGUGUUGGGAUACACAGUACAAGCACUGGGUGUGAGGGACCCGUAGGUGUUGUCACGGCUUCCUUUUAGGGGAAAGACACUAAUAUAAAACCUAGUUUCAUGUGAUUACUGGUCGUCUUGCUUUGGACUGUCUCUCGGUUCUAAUCACUGAAACUCAGAACAGUGGUAUUCGUGUUGUACAAGUGUUUCUCACUAUAAUCCUACAGCCUGCAGAUGUCGCUUUAUGGUCACCUUGUUUCUCAUUCCAUCCACUGAACGUCCUAUAGCUAAGGAAAAGUGGGAACGUAUGCAGACCAAACUGGUUGGAAGCAUGCAGUUAGUUACCACUUUUGUCUGUCAGUUAUACUUCAAGCCAUGCAGAUCUGCAACAGGAAUGAAUAGUCAUCUGUGAGGUCAUGGAUGGAAAGUCAGAAAUGCCAUUGACGAUGUGUAUGACGAUGGCACAAUCACCGUAUAUAUGUUUACAGAUUAUAAUAUAAAUUAAGUGAAUGAAAGAAAAAUGGGAAUUAUAUAAUCAACUGCAUCGGCUUACAGCUUUUUCUGCAAUAAGAAGCAGUACACAUGGAGCUAGAUGCUUGUGUGUCAUCUUAUAGCUUGCGCAGAGCCUUUAUAUGUGUAUGAAUGUGAAGGUGUGUUGAUUAGUGGUUAGGGUAUUUGGCACACGAUUGUAAGGUUGUCACUUUGAUUCCUGGUGCCAAAUUGUGUCCUUGAGCAAGACAGUUUAUUUCACAUUGGCCCAGUCCACUCAGCUGGUGAAAAUGAGUACCUGUAUUUCAAAGGGGCAAGCCGUGUCACAUUCUGUGUCACACUGAAUCUCCUUGAGAACUACAUUAAGGGUACAUGUGUGUCUGUGGAGUACUCAGCCACAUGUAUGUUAAUUUCACAAGCAAGCUGUUUCAUCGAUCGGAUCAACUGGAACACUCAUUGUCAUAACCCACAGAGUGCCAGUUAUGUAUUAUAAAUGUGAGUGUGUGUGUGUAUUUGUGUCUCCUUGUUUUGACAUUACGUGAUAGCUGUAACUGAGUGUCACUGUCAUACAAGCAGUCUCCUUCAUUUUCAAUAUUCUUUCGGAAUGUAUCUGAUCAUAGGGAAAAUAUUACCUUGCUUGGAAACAGGUGAAAGUUGGCAACAGGAAGGUCAUCUUGCCAUAGGAAAUUUACCUCAAUAAACUCCAUACAACCUAUGCUAGCAUAGAUGUUAAAAUUGUAUGUGUGUGUGUGUGUGUGUGUAUAUAUAUAUAUAUAUAUAUAUAUAUAUAUAUAUGUAUAUCAUCAUCAUCAUCGUUUAAUGUCUGCUUUCCAUGCUAGCAUGGGUUGGACGAUUUGACUGAGGACUGGCAAACCAGGUGGCUGCACCAGGCUCCAAUCUUGAUUUGGCAGAGUUUCUACAGCUGGAUGCCCUUCUUAACACCAACCACUCCGAGAGUGUAGUGGGUGCUUUUAUGUGCCACCGGCAUGGGGGCCAGGCCAAUCAGGCGGUACUGGCAACAGUCACGGAAAAAUCACGAUUUAAAAUUUUUUUUUAAUAUAUAUAUAUGUAUGAGGAAAGUUUUGAAAAACACAUAUAUUAUGAUGUUGAUAAAUGUAGCAGUAAAACCAAUUUUAACCUUAAACUACAGACAAGCUUCUACGCCAAAAAUUUAUUAAAGUUGAUUAUAAAAUAUUCUGCCAUAUUAGUAUAAGGUUGCUUUUUCCACACAAUAUACAUUUAUACAUAUUAAAUAAGUUAUCAAAGUGAUACAAAUAUAUUAGUUAUACAAAAUAUAAAGAACAAGUCUUAUUGUAGAAUGGUAAAACAUCAGAGGAAUAUUGAUUAUAUAUCUUUAUAGACACCAGCAAAAAACAGCCAUUACAUUGGUUGUUAUUAGUUCUUUUGAUAUGUGUGUGUGUGUAUAUAUAUAUAUAUAUAUAUACUGACCUAUAUGGCUUUAUAAACCAAUAGCUGUACAUCACUCUUAGUUCAAAAAUUUGAAGAAACCAGUCUAGAUUCUUUUAUUCUUUUGUUUGUUUCAGUCAUUUGACUGUGGCCAUGCUGGAGUACUGCCAUUAGGUACUUUUUCCUUGUAAGCCUAGUACUUAUUCAAUCGAUAUCUUUUGCUGAACCGCUAAGUUACGGGGACGUGAACUCACCAGCAUCAGUUGUUUAGUGAUGGUGGGGGACAAACACACACACACACACACAUAUAUAUCUAUCAUCAUCAUUGGGUUAGACGAUUUGACUGAGGUCUGCCGAACCAGAUAGCUGCACCAGACUCUAAUCUGAUCUGGCAGUGUUUCUACAGCUGGAUGCCCUUCCUAAUGCCAACCACUCAGAGAAUGUAGUGGGUGCUUUUAUGUGCCACCGGCACGAGGGCCAGUCAGGCGGUACUGGCAACGGCUAUGCUCAAAUGGUGCUAUUUAUGUGCCACCUGCACAGGAGCCAGUCCAGCAGCACUAGCAACGACCUCGCUCAAAUGUUUUUUCAUGUGCCAGUAAGGCGACACAGGUAACGAUCACACUCAAAUGUUGAUUUUAUGUGCCACUGGCACGGAGGCCAGCUUGUUGCUCUGGCAACGAUCACGCUCGUAUAGUACUCUUAGCGCCCCACUAGCAUGGAUGCCAGUCAUUGAAUUUGAUUUUGAUUUCAAUUUCACUUGCCUCAACAGGUCUUUGCAAGCAGAGUUGAGUGUCCAAUGAAGGAAAGGUACGCAUAAGUGGGCUGGUUACACCCCUUGCGUAGGCCACGAGGUUAUGGUCUCACUUGAGCUUGCCGAGUCUUCUCAAGCACAGCAUAUUUCCAAAGAUCCCGGUCACUAGUCAUUGUCUCAGUGAGGCCCAAUGUUUGAAGGUAAUGUUUCACCACCUCAUCCCAGGUCUUCUUGGGUCUACCUCUUCUACAGGUUCCCUCAACCACUAGGGUGUGGCACUUUUUCACACAGCUAUCCACAUCCAUUCUCGCCACAUGGCCAUACCAGUGCAGUGCAGUCGUCUCUCCUGCACACCACAUCUGGUGCUUCUUAGAUCCAACUUUUCCCUCAAGGUACUUACACUCUGUCGAGUAUGCACACUGACAUUACACAUCCAUCGGAGCAUACUGGCUUUAUUCUUUGUGAGCUUACGCAUGUCCUCAGCAGUCACAGCUCAUGUUUCUCUGCCAUGUAGCAUUGCUGUUCGUACACAUGCGUCAUACAGUCUACAUUUUACUCUGAGCGAGAGGCCCUUUGUCACCAGCAGAGGUAAGAGUUCUCUGAACUUUGCCCAGGUUAUUCUUAUUCUAGCAGCUACUCUUUCAGCGCACCCUCCCCCACUACUGACUUGGUCGCCUAGGUAAUGGAAGCUAUCAACUACUUCUAGUUUUCUCCUUGUAAUGUGGCUAAGCUUUGGUGGAAGAUUUUAAUUCAAAACUUAUGAAAACAAGACAUUUGUAUUACGGAGCCAGAGCUAGUUUCAGCUGGGUUGGUAUCAAAAGGGUUAAGAAUUGUUUCUCUAUUAUAUAUUUUAACCUUUUUCUUAUCAUAUUUCUGAUGAGAUGCUCUGUGUUUCUUUCAAUUAAUUUUAAAUAUAACAAAGAAUUUAGUAAAAUAACUUUGUUAUCAUUGAGCUAGUGUUAGGAACAUAAAUUAUAACUAAGUUUUGGUGGAAGAUUUUAAUUCAGAACUUAUGAAAACAAGACAUUUGGAUUACAGAGUCAGAGGCAGUUUUAGGUGGGUUGGUAUCAAAAAAGUUUAGCAAUACAUCCCUAGCAAGUGCCAUCACUUUCAGAUAAAGAUUUUGUUUUAUGGAAUUUCAAAUUUUGUCUUGUGUUAGAUAUCCUGAUUCACUCAGCAAGUGAUGUGGCUAUCUCAAAGAAUUCAUACUUGAGUUUUUCUGGUGCAGUGGUUGAUGCAUUGGUAACUUGUUAUUACAAUCACAGGCACAUAUAAUAUGUGCUUCUCAACCACAUGGUUCUGGGUUCAGUCCCACUGUGUGGCACCUGGGGCAAGUGUCUUCCACUAUAACUUUGGGUUGAUCAAAGUCUUGUGAGUGGAUUUGGUAGAUAGAAACUAGAAGAAUCCUGCCAUAUAUGUAUGCAUAUAUUUGUAUGUGUUUGUGUUUGUCCUUUACCAUCAGGGACAAAAACACACCAUUGGUUGAUGCUGGUAUGAUUAUGUCCUCAUAACUUAGUGGUUCAGCAAAAGAGACCGAUAGAAUAAGUACUAGGCUUACAAAGAAUAAGUCCUAGGGUCAAUUUCUUCAACUAACACCCUUUAACAUUAUUUACAUUUCAUGGAUAUUUGUCCUCAUCUUGUUUGUUGUUAAUACGUUUCGGCUGAUAUACCCUCCAGCCUUCAAUAAUAACAACAGCAACAACAUCGAAAAUGACCUUAGGAAUGAGAACUCAGGUUCAAAAUUUCCCCAAGACACCUGAUGAAGGCUGAAGGGUAUACCAGCCGAAAUGUUGUGUUAACAACAAACAAGAUGAGGACAAAUAUCUGUCAAAUGUAAAUAAUGUAGAUAAUUCCUCAUCUCUUAAAUAUAGAACUGCAACAGCCUUUAAAGCAGUGCUCCAGCAUGGCUGGAGUCAAAUGGCUGAAACAAAUAAAAAAAAGAAAAGAAAAGAAAUUAGUCCUGGUCUUUGUGAUCCCCUCUUUGAUAAGAAUAUUGGGUGUUGCAGGACUGCGUGAAUGAAUGGAAAGAAUUUGCCUAGAUUUUAAAAAAAUUGAAGAAAGGCCAAUUUGAAAAGUUGAAAAAAGAGCAAUUUCUUGGCCAUUUAAUGGCAGGAAAGCACCCAAUGUCUGUGCUUACCAAAGUGCUCUUGUGAACGAUUAUUUACAUGUUUAUUCUUAACAUCUUGCUAUUAAUGUCCAUCCUUGAAAUUUGUUUCUUCAUCUGAAGUCUUGCUACUCACAAUCUUGUUUACAAUUCCAAUAAGUAGUUCUUUGAUAUUUACCAUUACCAGAUGGAAAGACAGAUGUAAGCCACUCUUGGUAUGUCCUAAAGAAGAUGAAAUUAGUUCAAUCAUCAUCUGCAGCUGCCAAAGGCUUUAAUUUCAAAGCAAGAUAACGCA
rnacentral:lncRNA from 1 species